UGCUGGAGGUAUCAGAAGUGCGAAUGCUGACAUAAGUAACGAUAAAGCGGGUGAAAAGCCCGCUCGCCGGAAGACCAAGGGUUCCUGUCCAACGUUAAUCGGGGCAGGGUGAGUCGACCCCUAAGGCGAGGCCGAAAGGCGUAGUCGAUGGGAAACAGGUUAAUAUUCCUGUACUUGGUGUUACUGCGAAGGGGGGACGGAGAAGGCUAUGUUGGCCGGGCGACGGUUGUCCCGGUUUAAGCGUGUAGGCUGGUUUUCCAGGCAAAUCCGGAAAACCAAGGCUGAGGCGUGAUGACGAGGCACUACGGUGCUGAAGCAACAAAUGCCCUGCUUCCAGGAAAAGCCUCUAAGCAUCAGGUAACAUCAAAUCGUACCCCAAACCGACACAGGUGGUCAGGUAGAGAAUACCAAGGCGCUUGAGAGAACUCGGGUGAAGGAACUAGGCAAAAUGGUGCCGUAACUUCGGGAGAAGGCACGCUGAUAUGUAGGUGAAGCGACUAGCUCGUGGAGCUGAAAUCAGUCGAAGAUACCAGCUGGCUGCAACUGUUUAUUAAAAACACAGCACUGUGCAAACACGAAAGUGGACGUAUACGGUGUGACGCCUGCCCGGUGCCGGAAGGUUAAUUGAUGGGGUUAGCGGUAACGCGAAGCUCUUGAUCGAAGCCCCGGUAAACGGCGGCCGUAACUAUAACGGUCCUAAGGUAGCGAAAUUCCUUGUCGGGUAAGUUCCGACCUGCACGAAUGGCGUAAUGAUGGCCAGGCUGUCUCCACCCGAGACUCAGUGAAAUUGAACUCGCUGUGAAGAUGCAGUGUACCCGCGGCAAGACGGAAAGACCCCGUGAACCUUUACUAUAGCUUGACACUGAACAUUGAGCCUUGAUGUGUAGGAUAGGUGGGAGGCUUUGAAGUGUGGACGCCAGUCUGCAUGGAGCCGACCUUGAAAUACCACCCUUUAAUGUUUGAUGUUCUAACGUUGGCCCGUAAUCCGGGUUGCGGACAGUGUCUGGUGGGUAGUUUGACUGGGGCGGUCUCCUCCUAAAGAGUAACGGAGGAGCACGAAGGUUGGCUAAUCCUGGUCGGACAUCAGGAGGUUAGUGCAAUGGCAUAAGCCAGCUUGACUGCGAGCGUGACGGCGCGAGCAGGUGCGAAAGCAGGUCAUAGUGAUCCGGUGGUUCUGAAUGGAAGGGCCAUCGCUCAACGGAUAAAAGGUACUCCGGGGAUAACAGGCUGAUACCGCCCAAGAGUUCAUAUCGACGGCGGUGUUUGGCACCUCGAUGUCGGCUCAUCACAUCCUGGGGCUGAAGUAGGUCCCAAGGGUAUGGCUGUUCGCCAUUUAAAGUGGUACGCGAGCUGGGUUUAGAACGUCGUGAGACAGUUCGGUCCCUAUCUGCCGUGGGCGCUGGAGAACUGAGGGGGGCUGCUCCUAGUACGAGAGGACCGGAGUGGACGCAUCACUGGUGUUCGGGUUGUCAUGCCAAUGGCACUGCCCGGUAGCUAAAUGCGGAAGAGAUAAGUGCUGAAAGCAUCUAAGCACGAAACUUGCCCCGAGAUGAGUUCUCCCUGAGACUUAGAGUCUCCUGAAGGAACGUUGAAGACGACGACGUUGAUAGGCCGGGUGUGUAAGCGCAGCGAUGCGUUGAGCUAACCGGUACUAAUGAACCGUGAGGCUUAACCUU
rnacentral:rRNA from 1 species